UGCUUGUCUCGAGCCAUGCAUGUCUAAGUAUAAGCAACUAUACUGCUGCGAAUCUCAUCAGUUAUCGUUUAUUUGAUAGUACCUUACUACAUGGAUAACCGUGGUAAUUCUAGAGCUAAUACAUGCUAAAAACCCCAACUUCGGAAGGGGUGUAUUUAUUAGAUAAAAAACCAAUGCCCUUCGGGGCUCCUUGGUGAAUCAUAAUAACUUCACGAAUCGCAUGGCCUUGCGCCGGCGAUGGUUCAUUCAAAUUUCUGCCCUAUCAACUUUCGAUGGUAGUAGAGGCCUACCAUGGUUUCAACGGGUAACGGGGAAUUAGGGUUCGACUCCGGAGAGGGAGCCUGAGAAACGGCUACCACAUCCAAGGAAGGCAGCAGGCGCGCAAAUUACCCAAUCCCGACACGGGGAGGUAGUGACAAUAAAUACUGAUACAGGGCUCUUUUGGGUCUUGUAAUUGGAAUGAGUACAAUUUAAAUCCCUUAACGAGGAACAAUUGGAGGGCAAGUCUGGUGCCAGCAGCCGCGGUAAUUCCAGCUCCAAUAGCGUAUAUUAAAGUUGUUGCAGUUAAAAAGCUCGUAGUUGAACCUUGGGCCUGGCUGGCCGGUCCGCCUCACCGCGUGUACUGGUCCGGCCGGGCCUUUCCUUCUGGGGAGCCUCAUGCCCUUCACUGGGCGUGUUGGGGAACCAGGACUUUUACUUUGAAAAAAUUAGAGUGUUCAAAGCAGGCCUUUGCUCGAAUACAUUAGCAUGGAAUAAUAGAAUAGGACGUGUGGUUCUAUUUUGUUGGUUUCUAGGACCGCCGUAAUGAUUAAUAGGGAUAGUCGGGGGCAUCUGUAUUCAAUUGUCAGAGGUGUUCUUAUUGAAGACCUACUGCGGCAUUUGCCAAAUGCAUUUCAGUGACGAUCAGAUAGU
rnacentral:rRNA from 1 species